rnacentral:lncRNA from 1 species
AGACAUAGUCCCUGUCCCACAUGGGGCUCCCAGUUUAAGUAGAAUGGAAAACAGGAAGCAGCCACCAGAACUCUACAUAGAAUUCCAGACAUCUAGAGAAUUUUUCCUGAGUAUUAUCUGCUGUCCAGUGAAGUACCACCAUUAAUGGUACUAGAACCAGUGGCUGAAAAAUGAUGCUCUAACUCACUCUCCUCUUCUGCUCUGACCUUAUCUCUCUCUUGCCAUGCUUAACUGAUGUAAGCUUUUGGGCCUUCCAUCUUCUUCAUUUUCAGUACACACAUUUCUCUUCGCCACUUGCUCUUAGUCUCUCAUGGAAUGUCAUCGGUUGCUUCUGGUUCUUUGCACUCUGCUUUUUCAGAUGAAUUGUAAUCUAACGGGCCUUAAUUACGGUGUCCUUUAGGAAACAACAAUCUUCUUUCACACUCAUAGAUUUUAAUAAUUCCUCCCUAUCCACAUCUCUGACCGUAUUUUUAAAUUCUCCCUAGCCUGUUCUCUUGAAGCCUAAUACCUAGUAGCUCUGAGGACCGUGAGUCCAUUUCUUUCUGAUCUGACUGAAUCCAAGUAGCUUACAGUUUCUGGUGCUAUUUCCCUCUCUUUGUAUUCUCAGAUAGCUUCUUCAUUAUCAGGAAGUCUACGGUCUAACUUGAGUCAUAUGCUUUCUAUCUUCUAGGUCAGAAAGCUUUCCUUACUUAGCCCGAAGAAUUGCCUGAUGCUUCCAAACUCUGAAUGGGAAGUCAGAAGAACAGGCCUGACCCCAGCUCCAGUAAUAACUGGCUGGAUGACUUCAUCUGCAAAUUGGAUAUAUUGUCCUUCCCCUUUCCCCUCCUUCUCAAAGAUAUUGGGUGUGAGCAGAACAAGAUGGAGGACCACCGGAGCACCUUGGAAAUUUCCAGAAAGCCAGUCACCGUGAUUCUUCAUGCAGACAGCGCUUCCCAAAUGUUUCCCAGGGCAGCUUUGGACUCAAGAGAGACACCAGCGAUGGAUCUGAAAAGGGUUUAGGUGAUGUGGCUCCUCUCUGUGGCAGGAAGGAUGGAAGAAGAGGACAUCAGGCCUGACCUGGCUAGUGGACAGAAUGUGGAGGAGGAAGUUGAUUAGCACCCAAGUCAGGAGAAAAGAGGCACAGGAAAACCAAUACGCAGACCAGAUCAGCCUGGGCUCCCCACUGCUCCCAGGAAUUCCUGGGCUUCAGACGGUAAGUGAGGCGUGCCAUCACCUCAGGGCCGUGCACGAUAAGGGCGGCCCACUGAUGGGAACCAGGUGGGCUCUUCCAAAGAUGGUGGCCUCCUGGCCCUUCUCAUAGAUGGCUUCUUUCAAAGAUGGCCACCCCACUGCCCAUCUCAAAGAUUUAGGCAGAGGAGGUUCUCUCAAAGAUGGCCACCCCUUCUCAAAGAUGGAGGCAGGGCAAAAGCUAUCGAUCAGUUGGAUGUAAGUCAGGAUCUUGGAGUCCCACUACCUACGGCACUUGAUUAAAAGGCAGUUAUGGGUGGGGGGAGGCCUGAGGCAGAGAGAAAUGUUCCUCAAAAUCCUGCAUAUGAUAUCAUUACAUUAGGUUGUGUGCAGUUUGAUAUAAUGACAUGCUGUGCUGCAGGCCUGGUGACACAGGUCUGUGACUUGAUGCGCAAGUGUGUUGUGAUGAAACGUGAUAGUGUAAGUGAAAUAUGGGUGGCGGCCCUUUCUACCUUGCCUCAGGGCAGCUGAAAGUCUGAAGAUAGGUUAGGCCCUAGGCCAGUUCUCUGAAGGUGAGCAGAUUGGGGCUGUGACUUGGAAGGGCUCACAGAAGUUUUGAAAGUAAAUUAAAAGCAUUUACUAGCCCACUGGAAUGUUUUACUGUUUUACCCUUCUUAAAGACGGAACUCAGGGAUGAAAAGCAAUGGAAAAAUGGGCAAGGCUAAAUUCUUCCCUGCUUUGAGGGACUGGGCAGGCCGGAAUUCAUUUGCAUCAAACCCUCAUCCCUAUAAAAAGCAAACUCUUGCCCUGAGUACCACUCAGCCCAUCCAUCCCAGCAUGCUCUUCUCCAGGGAUGAGAACCAAUCCAACGUUAAUCAUCCCCACCUCCGCGGGGUAUGCUUGAGUUUCCUCAGCUCAGGGAACUGUGAACCCCUCACCUCCAAUUUGUAAUAGGAUUAGAGGAAUUCAACUGGGAUGCCUCUCUGUCUCAUUCAUUCAUUCAAUCAUAUUUAUCGAAUGCUUACUGUUUCCAUUACUGUAUUAAGUGCUUAGGAGAGUACAAUCCAACAAUAUGUAGACACAUUCCCUGCCCAUAACAAGUUUCCAGUCUAGAGGGAGAGAUAGGCAUUAAUAGAAAUAAAUUACAGAUAUUCAUUCAUUCAUUCAAUCGCAUUUAUUGAGUGCUUACUAUGUGCUGAGCACUGUACCAAGCACUUGGAGUGUACAAUUAGGCAACAGAUAGAGACAAUCCCUGCCCAACAAUGGGCUCACAAAUGCUGUCUCCCUGAGGGAGCUCCAAGUCACCUCCAUUCAACCAUUCGCAAAUUCCUGUUGAUGACAUUUCUAAAACUUCAAAUCAACCUCUUGAAAAUAGCAACUUGAAAAAGUUCAUUUGGACUAAGGUAUGGGCUAGAGCUAAAGUCAUAUUUAGGAUUGCACCUGGAUUUGCACAUUUUAUUCACCCCACCCUCAGCCCCACGGCACUUAGGUAAAUUUGUAAUAUACUUAUUUAUAUUAAUGUCUGUCUCACCCUCUGUAAAGUCCCUCUGGGCAGGGAAUAUAUCUACCAAUUCUGUUAUACUCUGCUCUCGCAAAUGCUUACUAUGGUGUUUUGCAUACAGUUAGUGCUCAAUAAAUAUGACUGAUUGAUUGGAUUAGGGCUAGGUGAGUGAGAUGGAGCAGAUGGGGGUUAUGGUUAAGGUUUAAGGUGAGGGCAACAGUUGAGGCUAUGAGAUGGAGCAGAUGGGGGUUAUGGUUAAGGUUUAAGGUGAGGGCAACAGUUGAGGCUAGGCAUUGAGGAUAGGGAGAGAGGCAAGGAAGAUGUCAAUUAUUUGGCCCAGUGACACUUGAACGUUAAGUGAUUGAACUGUCUUUUUGACAUUUGAUUUUUGAAGAUUUGAUAUACUGUGUAGCCAUUUCUCUCUAAUGCUACAGCAACUCUCAAUGCCCCGUUCAAUGGCAUUCACCCUUCCUAUGUUUAAUAAAUAUUAGCCUACUGACUGAUCACAAUUAUCGCUCAUUGUUUUGAUGAUAAUUCUGAUAUUUCUCAUCAGCUGGUCUCAAAACUGAUUUGGGUAUGACGGUGAUGGCUUGUGUGACAACCUUCACACUCCCUGUGACCUCCAUGUUCCAGCAUUCUGACAAGGGCUAUUGACUCCCCGAACGAUUCAGGGAAAGAAAAAGCCUCUUCCAGGGCUUCAGACUUCAGGCAUUUUUAGGAUGGACCCCAUGGGAAAUGGCUGACUCACUCAAGACUGAUCAAAGGCCCCCGUCAAGAGUUGGAUUUUGCUUCUGCCCCUGAAUGUCUGGCUGCCUAGACUCGGCUGGAGCCAGGAGGAGAGGAAUUCUGAGAGUUCAGCCACCAGAUGGACAUCACAGCGUGCGCACCACCUCGUCCACUGG